ACGGAGGUGGCAGGCGUUACUCGGAUUGAUUGGGUGUAAAGGGUGUGUAGGCGGUGCGCUAAGUCGAACGUGAAAUCCCUUGGCUUAACCAAGGAACUGCAUUCGAUACUGGCGUGCUUGAGUGAUGGAGAGGAAAGUGGAAUUCCCGGUGUAACAGUGAAAUGUGUAGAUAUCGGGAGGAACACCAGUGGCGAAGGCGACUUUCUGGACAUCUACUGACGCUGAAACACGAGAGCAUGGGGAGCAAACAGG
rnacentral:rRNA from 1 species